UACGUAGGGCGCAAGCGUUGUCCGGAAUUAUUGGGCGUAAAGAGCUCGUAGGCGGUCUGUUACGUCCGCUGUGAAAACCCAGGGCUUAACCCUGGGCUUGCAGUGGAUACGGGUAGACUAGAGGCAGGUAGGGGAGAAUGGAAUUCCCGGUGUAGCGGUGAAAUGCGCAGAUAUCGGGAGGAACACCGGUGGCGAAGGCGGUUCUCUGGGCCUGACCUGACACUCAGGGACGAAAGCUAGGGGAGCGAAUGGG
rnacentral:rRNA from 1 species